UAAUACUCUCAAAUCCUAGCCGCCACUAUUCAUCAUCUCCUUCCUCCAUCUCCAAACCCUUUCAUGGCUGCCGUUCCUAUCUUCUUCCCCGUCAUCCUCACGACCAACUGAACCCCAUCAUCAAACAACCAGCACUCGGGCAGCAACAGAUCGAAUCUCCACCUUCACGACCUCUGCUGGUGCUGUCCCCGUUGUGAAGAAACCUCCACGCCAGUCAUUUGUUCAACGGCAGUCAUACUCACGUGAGCAGCCCGCUUGCUUCACCUCACGUCCAAACACACUAACCAAACAGCCCCCCGUUCAUUUUCUUCUUUAGCUCCAUGAACGAGCUCACCCACGGACUGCCCUCCUCCAGCCAGCUCGACACCGCCGGCCAGCUACUAUACUGUUCGCCAUUCCCGUCCAAACAUCCAUAUAUAUAUAUAUAUAUACGUAUGUUAGUUUAAUAAAUCUUUCAUCUUGAUUGCAAUAUUGUUAGAUUUAAUUUAAAGUUUAAUCGAUUAUUGAGUUUAUUGAAUUGAAUCCGUUUUUUGUACUGGUUAAGUCUAAGGUUGGAUAUGAAUUAGAAAUUUGAAUUUGUUUGUUUGAUCUGUCUAAGUUUUAUUUGAAUUUGAC
rnacentral:lncRNA from 1 species